UACGUAGGGUCCGAGCGUUGUCCGGAUUUAUUGGGCGUAAAGAGCUCGUAGGCGGUUUGUCGCGUCUGCUGUGAAAUCCCGAGGCUCAACCUCGGGCCUGCAGUGGGUACGGGCAGACUGGAGUGCGGGUAGGGGAGAUCGGAAUUCCUGGUGUAGCGGUGAAAUGCGCAGAUAUCAGGAGGAACACCGGUGGCGAAGGCGGAUCUCUGGGCCGUAACUGACGCUGAGGAGCGAAAGCAUGGGGAGCGAACAGG
rnacentral:rRNA from 1 species